CGAAAGCGUGGGGAGCGAACAGGAUUAGAUACCCUGGUAGUCCACGCCGUAAACGGUGGAUGCUGGAUGUGGGGCCCGUUCCACGGGUUCCGUGUCGGAGCUAACGCGUUAAGCAUCCCGCCUGGGGAGUACGGCCGCAAGGCUAAAACUCAAAGAAAUUGACGGGGGCCCGCACAAGCGGCGGAGCAUGCGGAUUAAUUCGAUGCAACGCGAAGAACCUUACCUGGGCUUGACAUGUUCCCGACGGUCGUAGAGAUACGGCUUCCCUUCGGGGCGGGUUCACAGGUGGUGCAUGGUCGUCGUCAGCUCGUGUCGUGAGAUGUUGGGUUAAGUCCCGCAACGAGCGCAACCCGCCCCGUGUUGCCAGCGGAUUAUGCCGGGAACUCACGGGGGACCGCCGGGGUUAACUCGGAGGAAGGUGGGGAUGACGUCAGAUCAUCAUGCCCCUUACGUCCAGGGCUUCACGCAUGCUACAAUGGCCGGUACAACGGGAUGCGACGCGGCGACGCGGAGCGGAUCCCUGAAAACCGGUCUCAGUUCGGAUCGCAGUCUGCAACUCGACUGCGUGAAGGCGGAGUCGCUAGUAAUCGCGAAUCAGCAACGUCGCGGUGAAUGCGUUCCCGGGCCUUGUACACACCGCCCGUCAAGUCAUGAAAGUGGGCAGCACCCGAAGCCGGUGGCCUAACCCCUUGUGGGAUGGAGCCGUCUAAGGUGAGGCUCGUGAUUGGGACUAAGUCGUAACAAGGUAGCCGUACCGGAAGGUGCGGCUG
rnacentral:rRNA from 1 species